CUUGAACGCUGGCGGCAGGCCUAACACAUGCAAGUCGAACGAGUGGCGGACGGGUGAGUAAUAUAUCGGCACGUGCCCAGUAGCGGGGGAUAACUACUCGAAAGAGGGGCUAAUACCGCAUACUAUUAGAGCGGCCGAUAACGGAUUAGCUAGUUGGUGGGGUAAAGGUUCACCAAGGCAACGAUCCGUAGCUGGUUGGAGAGGACGACCAGCCACACUGGGACUGAGCCACGGCCCAGACUCCUCCGGGAGGCAGCAGUGGGGAAUUUUGGACAAUGGGGGAAACCCUGAUCCAGCCAUCCCGCGUGUAUGAGAAGGCCUUCGGGUUUUAAAGUACUUUUGGCAGAGAAGCGGUAUCUGCAGAAUAAGCACCGGCUAACUACGUGCCAGCAGCCGCGGUAAUUC
rnacentral:rRNA from 1 species